AAUUCGUGAUGAUCCCAAACGCGAAGCGACUCAAAUGUCCUUUGAGGGAUGGACAGAUAAACACUGUGAUGAAUCCACAGCACCCGAAAGCUACUCAAGGAAGAAAGACAAGAGAAAAAAAGGACAGAACUCCCGUCACAGGCAACGACUGAGUGAAGGGAAAGGAGCCAGUCUCAAAGGGAGACUGUAAAUCACAUUUUCCCCUCAGAAUGAUUUCCCGUGCUUUCAGAUUCUUGGAAUCGAAAACAAAGCUGAUGUGUCCUGAGCUUCGGAGUAUGUGGCAGCCACUUUUCUGAGGACUCUUUUCAUCCUUACAACAGCCCCUGAUGGAGGUUCUAUUAUUAGCUCCAUUUUACAGACGAGAAAACAAAGUUCAGAGAAGCAAACUGACUUGCCUGAACAUCCCAGGGUGUAGCAGCAGAAUCCAGGUUGACAGCAAAGUGGGGAAGGUUCAGCCUGAAAGGAGGCCCCAGUCAGGCUUCGUCAUUCACUACCGUUACCGCCUCGGCAUCCACUGGGGCGAACCACCCCUCAGCCUCACUGUCCCACCGAACCCUGUGGAAGCCUCUUCUUCCCAGAUCCCACCCCAGCGGGAACAUUUUGUGACUUAGCUGAUGAAAACACACCAAUGCUUUUCAAAUAUUACUUUAGAUUUUCGAAC
rnacentral:lncRNA from 1 species